rnacentral:lncRNA from 1 species
GCCAGCCUUUGGAGAAAGGGAGGAGUCAUGUGAGUUUAUUGAUUAAGCACAACUCGAUGCUGUUUUAUGAUUCAAAAUUGCUGAUGGGAAUGCAUGCUUUCUCUGCCUGAGAUGCUGUCCUCAACCCUAUGUGUGGACACUGCACUCACAGAGGCUGAUCUGUACACACAUAUAGACACGGAUGCACACAUUCAACUUUACAUAGAAAGAGUUGGCUCAACAACUUCAUUGUGUUUUUUCUCACUUUGGGGUGCUGCUUCCCAGGGGAGCCUUGAUGAAUGCAGGCUGUGAGCAUGACCUCAUCUGUCAAGGUGGAGACAAGAGCUUAGGUGCUGGGGAGCGGACUGGGCUAUUCUGCAAUUCAUGAAGCAAAGCAGGGCCCCUGAAGACCUAUGUUAGGAUGGUGGCCAGCCAAGAUGGUGGACCCUUUAACAGCAUCAGUUACUGAAAGAUUAUGUGAGUUGGAGCUGCUGUCAGCCCAUGCUGGACUACAGCAGGAGUGAGAAG